UAAAAUGGAGAUAAUUUAUUAUCUUGACCCAUUGGCGAAAGACAUUAAUAUGAGGCAAGAUUUGAAGAAGUUGUUUGACAUGGUUAUACAAACCUACCGAGCUCAAAGAGGGUCUAUGGUUUCAAAGUCUAAGUUAAGCAAUAUCAAAUGGACACCAAUUAAGUGUCCAAAAC